AUUUUUUUUUAGCCUUUUGGAAAAACCAUUUAUGUGUCAGUUAAAAUCCUUUGGUACAGGCAUAAGUGAUUUUCCUUCCAAAUACAGAUGAAACGUGAAGAAUAAUCGGUCAGUUUCACCUCCAACAUAGGUUUCUCAAUAAAAUCAUUUUUCAAUACAACUUAUCAGCGGAUACACUUCCAAUGUCAUCAUUGAUUUCUCUUCUCCCAGUCCCGAUUCAUCUCAUCAUCAAUGUCAUCUAUUCUGUUUUCCAGAUUUCUCGAUCAGGUUUUUUGAAUGGCUUCCCGAGGACAUGACUCUGUUAAGGAAAUCACUCCUCCAAAGGAAUCAUGGAACAUUGUUGUUUGAGUUAUUCUGUUAUUGUUUGUUCAAAAUAUGAAUGUGAAACAUAAGUUUUUUGCAAUAGAAAUGGUUCUCAUGGAUGAUAAGGUUAUUUGUUGUUUCCUUUGAUUGUUCUUGGUCGAUUAUAUUAUAUGGUUUUGUCAUAAUUUUUAUUGUUUAUUAUUCAUUGUUUAUAAAUUUAUAGGGUGACAAAAUCUAAGCUUCUGUUCGAAAAGCUAUGCUGUCUUGAUUUAAAAAUAAGAUUCGUGAGGGAGCUGCUUAUAAUUUUAAGUCCUUUGUUGUUGCCGCUAAUACUUGAGCGUUUAGGACCAUAAACAACAAUUCAAAUUGAAUUUGCAGAUUGGAUUGUAGAAGAUUUUCAUGUAGGUUUCACUUGGAAGUUUGAUCUGUUUGGUUUGAAACAUGAGGUGCUAUUUCUACCAAAGGAUGGAAGGUGGAUUAAGCUUCAGAAGCUGCAUAAAAGCUUUCAGGACACUGUUAAAAUUGUUUUAAUUACACUUUGAUUUCUUGAUUGUGUUAAGACAAAACCUUGAUUUUCUAUUGAUUUUUUUUUGAGAAACUUGUGUAAGAAUAGAGAUUUGAGGUAUUUUUCUUGAUUUUUCAUUUUUGUAAGGUAAUGAGUGAUGGCUUAAGUGAAAAGUGCAUUUUGUGAUGGUUUUUUACUGAAUGUUUUUUGUAGCUCUUAUGGGUUUAAAUCUUCACACAAGGAUUUACUGGAUCACAUGUCUUUUGUUGGUGAAGCUACUAGAAUAGAUGUUGUACUUGCUCGGUGUAAGAUGAUGAUACCGACAGUAACAUCCGAAACUAAUGAAGACUCAAAAGUAGAUGAUGAUUUGUUUGAUUCUGUUUGUGCAAUGUGUGAUGAUGGUGAUGAUAUUAUAAUCUAUCCCAUAUACGUUAUCCAGGAGCUGCAAAAUUCAUGUUAUUGAGGCUCUUACACCAACGAACAAUAUUCUCUUUAUUCCGAAUCUUUCCAUUAAAACAAUGCAUGUGAUGCUACAAAUUCUCUGUCUUUAUUAUCCCGUAUUCGUUGAAGUUAGAAUGGUUAAAUGAAGGCCAGAAUUUUCUUAGUGGAAUAUGGAGAUGAGAUGCAAUCUACUACAUUGGUUGCGAAGUUUCAAAAUUAACGAACAAACCCCAUGUUGAUAACUUAUGUAAAGAAGUCGGCAAUUAUUUCUCCAACGUAUGGCUUAUAAAAGACAUGAAUCAUAUAUCUUUGCAUAGAGUUAUGGGUCUUGAUUGAUUGUAGUUAGUUAGUUGUUGUUUUCCUUUAUCAGUCUUGGUCUUGAUUGAUUGUAGUUAGUGUAAUAACUUUAACAUUUUUAUAAAGUGAUGUAUUUGGAAAAUUAUCAUCUUUUUCUUAAUCAAGAUAAAUUACUAUUUCAUGUUGAAGGAAUUUUGUGUGUGUACGCUACAAACGUUCUCUAUAGUGAGUUUUCAAUAAUUUAUAAAAAUCGUGUAGUGUUAUUUGCUUGGUAAUUAAACUUGUUGUAACAUUUAUAUUCGUUAAUUUUAUCCCGUUGCUUACACGGGUAGACACAUUAGUAGUUUAUAAUUUAAGUUUGGUUAACUGAAUUGGUUGUAAUAUGUGGUUCAGUUUAUUAUCUAUUUUAGUGGUUGUAGUUUUUUAUGGUUCAAUUCAGUUAUAGUAUUUAGUCCAAUUAACUUUUUUUUUGCACAUCCCUAGUCUGAACUGAACAUUUAAUCUAUCAUGCCCUUGAACCAACAUAAGUGGGCGUACAUUUUGAAGGUUGGCAUCGCUUUUAAGUUGUUGUUUAUGGAACUGUUUUGGAAGCUUGCUUGUAAUAUGCAGUUGGUAUUGUGGUGAUAUGUACUUAAUU